rnacentral:rRNA from 1 species
GGAAGUAAAAGUCGUAACAAGGUUUCGUCCCAGAUUCUUCUCGGAAGCCUUCACACACCGACUAUAACCACGUGUGGAGUCUCGACUCGGUUGAGUCUAGGCGACGCCCCCCCUGUGCUGGAACGUUGCAUACCCUGCAGCGAACCUGCAGCCAGAUUUUUCUGGUCCACAGAUUAGGAGGUGGCGGUCCCAAUCCACCGUUGGGAUCAAGAUAUAAUCGGUCCCCAUCGCUUGGCAAGAUGGUGGAAGAACGUUCCGUAGGUGAACCUGCGGAAGGAUCAUUA